AAGUAGCACUAUGGAGAUUCACACGUGGCAAAGAGCUGAGGCCUCCCACCAACAGCCACAUGAGGGAGCCAGAGUAGGAGUGGCUCCUCCAGCCCCAGUCGAACCUUCAGAUGUGACAGACUUGGCUGCUGACAGUUUGCAAUCUCAUGAGACCCUGAGCCAGAACCACCCAGCUAAAUCAGUCCUGGACUCCUGAUCAACAGAAAUGACCAAAGAGAGGCGUUUUGAACAUUAAGACGCUUUGCUGCUUCUCACCUGAAACACGUAACAGGAACACCAACCUCUUCAGCCGCGGGAAAUCUUCUUUGACACAAAACUCAAACCGAGUCAACCCAAAGUUCCAAGUUCUUUGCUUUCUCUUCUGUGUGUGUGUUGGUUUGUCCCAAAAGUCAGUUUGCAAGUUGAAACUUCAUGAAAUUACUCGUAGCAGAAAUAAAGUACAUUGUACAAAUCA
rnacentral:lncRNA from 1 species